UACGUAGGGUGCAAGCGUUAAUCGGAAUUACUGGGCGUAAAGCGUGACGCAGGCGGCUUUGCAAGACAGAUGUGAAAUCCCCGGGCUUAAACCUGGGAACUGCAUUUGUGACUUGCAUGGCUGGGAGUGCGGGCAGAGGGGGAUGGAAAUUCCGCGUGUAGCAGUGAAAUGCGUAGAUAUGCGGAGGAACACCGAUGGCGAAGGCAAUCCCCUGGGCCUGCACUGACGCUCAUGCACGAAAGCGUGGGGAGCAAACA
rnacentral:rRNA from 1 species